AGAUAGGCUUAGGGAGCUACCAUUUGAUUUUUAUGGGGGGGGGGGGUAGGAUGAAAUUUGAAAAAAAUAGGCAGGACAGGAGUUUUGAGUAAAAAAAAAGGCAGGAUGAGACACUUUGCAAAAAAAAAGGCAGGAUGACAAUUUAGGUAAAAAAAAGUCAGGAUAAACUAAUAAAAAAAAAGGCAGGACCGAAUAGAGUGAAAAAUAAAAAGGCAGGACAGAGAUUACAACUAAAAAAAAUGCAGGACAAAAUUUUUCAUCCUAGCCCCCCCCCCCCCCCAUAAAAAUCAAAUGGUAGCUCCCUUAAACCAAAAGUGAAU
rnacentral:lncRNA from 1 species